rnacentral:rRNA from 1 species
UUUAUUGGAGAGUUUGAUCCUGGCUCAGGAUGAACGCUGGCGGCGUGCCUAAUACAUGCAAGUCGAGCGAAUGGAUUGAGAGCUUGCUCUCAAGAAGUUAGCGGCGGACGGGUGAGUAACACGUGGGUAACCUGCCCAUAAGAAUAACUCCGGGAAACCGGGGCUAAUACCGGAUAACAUUUUGAACCACAUGGUUCGAAAUUGAAAGGCGGCUUCGGCUGUCACUUAUGGAUGGACC